rnacentral:tRNA from 1 species
UGGGGUGUAGCUCCGUGGUAGAGUGCUUGCCUAGCACGUGCAAGGCCCUAGGUUCUAUCCCCAGCACCACAA